AUGAGUUGUGUUGUCAAGUUUCGUAUUUCUGGGACGUUUAGUUGUGUUGUUAUAGUCAUGAUGCAUUGUUGUGAGUUUUGUGGGUCCCGGAUUGUGGAUUUGUGGUGUGGUUGUGUUGUUACAACCGGGAGCCAAGGCUUUUGCAUUGUGUUGUCAAGUUUCGUAUUUCUGGGGCGUUUAGUUGUGUUGUUAUAGUCAUGAUGCGUUGUUGUGAGUUUUGUGGGUCCUGUGUGGUUUUGUGGUGUGGUUGUGUUGUUACAACUGGGAGGCAAGGCUUUUGCAUUGUGUUGCCAAGUUUUGUAUUUCUGGGGCGUUUAGUUGUGUUGUUAUCGCAUGAUGCGUUGUUGUGAGUUUUGUGGGUCUGGAUUGUGGUUUUGUGGUGUGGUUGUGUUGUUGUAACCUGGAGGCAAGCCUUUUGCAUUGUGUUGCCAAAUUUCGUAUUUCUGGGAUGUUUAGUUUUGUUGUUAUAGUCACUGCGCAAACAACUUUAUCAUUUUAUAUAUAUAGAUACACACACACACACACACACACACACACACACAUACAGUACAGUGCUUGGAAUACAGUGUGAUUAAUUAAGAUAUAGUAAGUUUAACUUAAAUAGUCCCAAAUCUGAAAAAUACUUUUUACAGAAAUGUUGAAAUAACAUCCCUUGAAAAAGAAGAUCAAUAAUUCAUCCACCUCAUUUCCUGUUAGGUACAGUCAGGCUUGCACCUUUCCUGCCUUACUCCUUGUCCUCAUGGGACUUUAUAACACAAUAAAGAAAAGCCAUGCACUAAAUUCAUGUGACCUACAUCAUUUCAGUAUAUUUUAAACCUGUUCCUAUUGUCCUCAUUUCUAGGGACCACUUAAGUAGAAAACAAAUAUCCUUGUCAGAUGAAUGUUUUAAAUAUCACCUAUCAUAUAUGGCAGUGGUUCUCAACUUGUGGGCCUCCAGAUGUUUUGGCCUUCAACUCCCAUAAAUCGUAACAGCUGGUAAACUGGCUGGGAUUUCUGGGAGUUGUAGGCCAAAAACACCUGGGGACCCACAGGUUGAGAACCACUGAUAUAUGGGAUCCAAAGAGAUGACACCCAGAAGAGCAGUUGUGAUGGUUUGCAAUAACAAAACAAAAACGAAAAACCCAAGAGAGACAUUAAAUCUGUUUUUAAAUAUACUCUUUAAACAUAUUUAACAUCAUGGUGUUUAAUACAACUUGAGGCCUAAAACAUUCCAUUGUUUUAACUAUGCACUCUAGAAAAAAAUAUUGCAUUUUGCCUAUUCUGAAUGUUCUACUUUCAAAGUUGAUUGGACAACUCCAGGUUCCAGAGCCAAGAGGGAGAAAAACCUAUCCUCUGUUUCAUUGAUACACAUCAUUUUAUGAAUUUCUGGUAUAUCUGAUUCAUCUUUUUCUACAAUAAAUAGCUACAUUUAUUUUACAUUUCCUCACAGGAAUUGAUUUAAGCCCCCUGGUAAUUUUGGUAACCCCUGGUUGGAUGUGUUCCAGCUGUAAAAUAUCCUCCUUUAGAUGCAAUACCACAACUAUAUACAUUGUUCCAAAUGUGAUCCUCCAUACAUUUAUACAAUGAUGCUACACUACUAAUAAUUUCAUUUUUGAUCUCUUUUCUAACAAUUUCUGUCAAAGAAUUCAUCUUUCACAACUCUUAUGCAAUGUGUCAGCUUUUUCCUUCCAACAGUAGGCACUGGCAGGCUUUUAAAGAUCAAGUCAGGGGGUGCUAUUGUUUUAGCUUUGAAAAUGUUGUUAAUCAGUUUUUAAGGAUUUUAACUGUUUACUUUCUAAUAUUUAAUUCUAUUGUAAUUUUUGUAUAGUGUUAGGUUUUCAGUUGUAUUUCAUUUGGUUUUACUGUAAGCCGCUUUGAGUCUCUUUUGU
ensembl:lncRNA